rnacentral:lncRNA from 1 species
CUUUUAGCGAGACCCUUUUGUGAGGUUUUGCAGCUGUUUGUUUGUUUCUCUUCCUAAAGCUAAGAUAAUUGCUGGGCUUAUUAUCUUCUCUCAAGUCUUAAUUCUUGCCAAUUGCGAUUUUCUGUGAAAAGGGUGCUGUAUUUCAGGCAUUUUAAGGGGUAAUUUACAGUUAAUACAUGAAUUAUGAAUGUAUGAUCUUUUAGCUGAUGAUGAGUUUAGGAAUGUUAAAUAAUGUAGAACUGAAUUCUUGGAAUGAGGUGGUUUAAGGGCGCACAUAUUGCUUAUUGACUUAAUAUCAAGGGUAAGGUGUUGUUUGUAGUUCUUCCCCUCCUUGUUACCUGUGUCAAUGAAUUCUGUGAAGGUGCCCUUUUCUAGUGUUAGGUUGAAUUUUAAUUUUUCAUAUAUGUAAGUUGUCCAUUAAUGUAAAUACCGGAAACUUGUGAUGCAGAUUGUUGACAUUUGGAAAUAUUAGGAGGGUUGUGCAAUCAGUAGUCUCAAAUCAGAAUAGUAGCCAUUCAGAAUUAAAGAAGCAUGGAACAAGUGUUGCCGUNNN